UUUGACCUCAAAUCAGGUAGGACUACCCGCUGAACUUAAGCAUAUCAAUAAGCGGAGGAAAAGAAACUAACAAGGAUUCCCCUAGUAACGGCGAGUGAAGAGGGAAAAGCUCAAAUUUGAAAUCUGGCAGUCUAAGGCUGUCCGAGUUGUAAUCUAGAGAAGUGUUUUCCGUGCUGGACCGUGUACAAGUCCUUUGGAACAAGGCGUCAUAGAGGGUGAGAAUCCCGUCUACGACACGGACUACCAGUGCUCUGUGAUACACUCUCAACGAGUCGAGUUGUUUGGGAAUGCAGCUCAAAAUGGGUGGUAAAUUCCAUCUAAAGCUAAAUACAGGCGAAAGACCGAUAGCGAACAAGUACCGUGAGGGAAAGAUGAAAAGCACUUUGGAAAGAGAGUUAAACAGUACGUGAAAUUGUUGAAAGGGAAACGCUUGAAGUCAGUCGCGUCUUCAGAAAUUCAGCCUGGCUUCUGCCUGGUGUACUUUUCUGUUGGACGGGCCAGCAUCAGUUUUGGUCGCCAGAAAAAGGUGGGAGGAACGUGGCACCUCCGGGUGUGUUAUAGCCUCUCAUCGUAUGUGGCGGCUGGGACUGAGGACCGCAGCACGCCUUUAAUGGCCGGGGUUCGCCCACGUAACGUGCUUAGGAUGCUGGCGUAAUGGCUUUAAACGACCCGUCUUGAAACACGGACCAAGGAGUCUAACAUGCCUGCGAGUAUUUGGGUGGUAAACCCAUAUGCGGAAUGAAAGUGAACAGUUGGGACUUCUGUCAUGGAAGGCACCGACGCCCGGACCAGACCUAUUGUGACGGAUCCGAGGUAGAGCAUGUAUGUUGGGACCCGAAAGAUGGUGAACUAUGCCUGAGUAGGGUGAAGCCAGAGGAAACUCUGGUGGAGGCUCGUAGCGAUUCUGACGUGCAAAUCGAUCGUCGAACUUGGGUAUAGGGGCGAAAGACUAAUCGAAC
rnacentral:rRNA from 1 species